rnacentral:rRNA from 1 species
AGAACGAACGCUGGCGGCGCGUCUUAAGCAUGCAAGUCGAACGGCAAGAGGUAGCAAUACCUCCUAGAGUGGCGGACUGGUGAGUAACACGUGGGUGACAUACCCUUCAGAUGGGGAUAGCUAUUAGAAAUAGUAGAUAAUACCGAAUACGAGCACAGGGGUUAGAGAUCUGUGAGGAAAGGAGCUAAGGCUCCGCUGAAGGAAUGGCCUGCGGCCCAUUAGCUAGUUGGUGAGGUAAGAGCCCACCAAGGCGAUGAUGGGCAUCCGGCCUUAGAGGGUGAACGGACACAUUGGGACUGAGAUACGGCCCAGACUCCUACGGGAGGCAGCAGCUAAGAAUAUUCCGCAAUGGACGAAAGUCUGACGGAGCGACGCCGCGUGGAUGAAGAAGGCCGGAAGGUUGUAAAAUCCUUUUGAAACUGAAGAAUAAGCGUUGUAGGGAAUGACAGCGUGGUGACAGUAGGUUUUGAAUAAGCAACGGCUAAUUACGUGCCAGCCGCCGC